GCGGGCGUAGCUCAAUGGUAGAGCCUCAGUCUUCCAAACUGAUGGUGCGGGUUCGAUUCCCGUCGCCCGCUCCA
rnacentral:tRNA from 3 species